rnacentral:rRNA from 1 species
AAUGAACGUUGGCGGCGUGGAUUAGGCAUGCAAGUCGAGCGAGAACCCGCAAGGGGGACAGCGGCGAACGGGGUAGGAAUACGUAGGUAACGUACCCUCGGGGCGAGGACAGCCACGGGAAACUGUGGGUAAUACUCGAUAAACUUCCCAAUCAUUAUCGGAGGGGAAGCAAUGGGUGUGAUUCCACCUGAGGAGCGGCUUACGCAGUAUCAGCUAGUUGGUGAGGUAACGGCUCACCAAGGCUACGACGCUUAGGGGGUGUGAGAGCAUGGCCCCCACCACUGGCACUGAGACACUGGCCAGACACCUACGGGUGGCUGCAGUCGAGAAUCUUCGGCAAUGGACGCAAGUCUGACCGAGCGACGCCGCGUGUGGGAUGAAGGCCUUCGGGUUGUAAACCACUGUCAGAGGGGAUGAAGUAUACGAGAGUUAUCUCUUGUAUUUGACAGAGCCUCAGAGGAAGCACGGGCUAAGUUCGUGCCAGCAGCCGCGGUAAU